UACGUAGGUGGCAAGCGUUGUUCGGAAUUAUUGGGCGUAAAGAGCUCGUAGGCGGUGUGUCGCGUCGGCCGUGAAAACCUGCAGCUUAACUGUGGGCUUGCGGUCGAUACGGGCAUCACUGGAGUUCGGCAGGGGAGACUGGAAUUCCUGGUGUAGCGGUGAAAUGCGCAGAGUAUCAGGAGGAACACCGGUGGCGAAGGCGGGUCUCUGGGCCGAUACUGACGCUGAGGAGCGAAAAGCCG
rnacentral:rRNA from 1 species